GACGAACGCUGGCGGCGUGCUUAACACAUGCAAGUCGAGCGGUAAGGCCCUUUCGGGGGUACACGAGCGGCGAACGGGUGAGUAACACGUGGGUGACCUGCCCUCAGCUCUGGGAUAAGCCUGGGAAACUGGGUCUAAGUACCGGAUAUGACUCCAUGACGCAUGUUGUGGGGUGGAAAGCCUUGUGCGGCUAGGGAUGGGCCUGCGGCCUAUCAGCUUGUUGGUGGGGUGANGGCCUACCAAGGCGACGACGGUAGCCGGCCUGAGAGGGCGACCGGCCACACUGGGACUGAGACACGGCCCAGACGUCCUACGGGAGGC
rnacentral:rRNA from 1 species